rnacentral:misc_RNA from 1 species
GAUGGAAGAACGUAGCGAAAUGCGAUAAGUAGUGUGAAUUGCAGAAUUCAGUGAAUCAUCGAAUCUUUGAACGCACAUUGCGCCCUUUGGUAUUCCUUAGGGCAUGCCUGUUCGAGCGUCAUUUAAACCCUUCAAGCUCAGCUUGGUGUUGGGUGACUGUCCGCCGCCCCCGGGCGCGGACUCGCCCCAAAUUCAUUGGCGGCCGGUACGUAGGCUUCGAGCGCAGCAGAAACGCGAACUCGGGCCCGCGGUGUCGGCUCCCAGAAGCCAUCUCUUUUAUUUUGACCUCGGAUCAGGUAGGGAUACCCGCUGAACUUAAGCAUAUCAAUAAGCGGAGGA